GCGUUGCAGCGAUUUGGCUGUGAAUUUCAACUCCAUGAUCUGAUUAAGCAGCUUCUCGGUGUUCCCCAUGGCGAUCGCUUCAGAUAAUUUCAAAUUGGGAUUCUAGGGUUUUUUCGGGCAGAAUGAAAUUGCAGAGAUGUUCCAUAAAAACAGCAGUGGAAAAGAAAAAACGAACGGGGGAGUAGAGGUGAAGAUAUGAUGCAAUUUAAUUUGAUGUUUUAAUUUUGUUUUUCCUUUUUCUCUUUCAUUAGUUUUGAACUGGCCUAUUAAUGGUUAGAAUGAAUGUAAUAACAUGAAGAAUAGAUAGAAUUUAUCCUUCUAUAAAUAUAGAGUUUUGUCCUAAAAUAUAUAUAUUAAUUGAAUAGCAAAUUUCAUGUUUGUUUAAUUAUUUUUAUUGUAAGUUAAUUUGUAGAAAUUACAUUAGUAAAAAAGAAUGAAAAUAUAUUAUCUCCUCA